UUCCCCAAAACUUUGUAUUUAUUUCUAAAAAAAAAACGUUAUUUAAACGAUAUAUUGUAUCCUGUAUACACAACGGAGCAUGUUUAAAACAUGUAAUGUUGGUACGUGUAACGAGGGAGCAACCGGAAGUAAGUCACUAGUUAAAGCGGAAACCGACAAACGCGUUACCCCACCGCUACGACGACUUUUCUUAGAUAGUGGUUUAGUGUGUUGGGAUUAAAACCGUAGUCAGGUUUAAAGGUGACUCAUAAUUUAAAAGUGGAAGCAAACGAGACAAAGUUUCAUUUUGUACGUCGGACGUCAGACGUGAUGACGUAACAAACAGAGACUUUAAAACUGAAUCAUUGUGAGGAAGGAAUCAAAUCACCAACACGACGUUCACAUGACGAUUGUCCUUGACUUUUGAAGCUUUUCCGCAUGGCGAACGAGCACGUUGAAAUCCAUGACCUGUUCUCCAGUCAAAGCGUCAGUCCUGGACCUCCCUCGGACACAGAGAGCAUGGAGAGCUCUGUGGAGUACAGACUCAUGAUGGUGUAUGCCCAGAGGAGGCGUCCUCCCAAAGAGCAGGGCCCGACUGAGGACAACCAUGAGAACGGGAACGCUAUCACGUCACAGACUACAAACAAAGCUGAGGAGACGACCACCACUACCACGACAGUGAAGAAGAAGAAGAAGAAGAAGAAGAAGAAGAAGGGGUGGAAACGUCUGUCUAGUUUUUUUAAAUGUGUCUCACCUCAAGCUGAGGAAGCAGCGGUAUUUCAUUCAGCGCAUUUUAGUGAGGAUGACGAAAACAGAAUGUUCAGUCCUGCAGCGGCACAACCGAUAGUCGUUUCUUCAGUCAAAGUGAACUCUGACUCUAAGCUGGAGGAGGUGGUGGACAAACUGACGGAGAUCGUUGUCGACGUUCCGUUUAUUCAGCCAGACAUCGAGACUGACGCUCCUGAAAAUUCUAGGGAGGUGGAGGUGAUGCUGGCGCUGCUGCUGAGGGAAGCUGGAGAUCAGAUCGAUGAGGAGACGCUGAAAAACGCCAACAUUGCCUCUGAGCUCUUCUGGAACUACAGCUUCUUUAAGACGCUGAUGGACGCCUUGCUGAGGAGGAUGGGUCUGAGGAGUGCCGACCCCGACGCACCAGGACCGCAGGCGUCGCCCAAAACCCAGAUCGCUGUGUCCUGUGAGGUCACCAGUCGUCUGUCGACUGUGAACACGCUGCCCAUGACUCGUAUGUUUGACCACGGUGCCAGAUACCUGCAGGAUUACUUCUCUGACUGGGUUCAACGGCAGGGUGGAUACGAGGAGGCGUUUGAAGAAGAUGAAGAUGAAGUCCAAUGAAAGAAAAAAAAGGGGCGGGGCUAAUAAUGCUGAAAGCUACUUUAAACAAACUUCAGAUCAAUGGUUCCGAUUGGUUAAAUUCAACUCAAGGUGGUUUCUGUACUUUGCCAUGACACUGUUUACAUGCAACUUAAUCAGCUUGUACUGCAGUAUCAGUGUGUGACUGUUUGUGUGUAUGUGUGUUCAUGCGUGUGUGUGUGUGUGAGUGUUUCUUUACUCUAAAAAAAUAAAAAUAAAACUUUUUGUUGCA
ensembl:lncRNA BCL2 like 14